rnacentral:misc_RNA from 1 species
UCGCAAGAGCCGAAAUACGUGCGGCUUUUGCAGCAAACAUGCGGUCUUCUCGCAGCAUGUAGCCAUAGUCCUUGAUGGUCGUGCCGCAUCCCGACGUGGUCACGAGAGGAUGGCGUCGAGACCGUUCCUGUCGAUCUCAUUUGUCCACACCUCGAUGUUCGCGCGUGCGCGUUUCAGCGCGUCGCCAUCGUGGCCCAUGUGAUGGGUCAGAGAGCCGCAGCACUGCUCAUCGGCCACCAGCGCCACCNNNNNNUCGCUGCCUGGUUGAUUCCCGGCGACAGAACCUGCUGGGCGCAGCCCUGCAAGAGCGCCACGCGGCCGCGUCUUUGGCCCUCGGCGGGGAAGACCAUGCCACCGGAUGGACCGGG